rnacentral:rRNA from 1 species
UACGAAGGGUGCAAGCGUUACUCGGAAUUACUGGGCGUAAAGCGUGCGUAGGUGGUGAGUUAAGUCUGUCGUGAAAGCCCCGGGCUCAACCUGGGAAUGGCGAUGGAUACUGGCUCGCUAGAGUGCGGUAGAGGAGAGUGGAAUUCCCGGUGUAGCAGUGAAAUGCGUAGAGAUCGGGAGGAACAUCAGUUGCGAAGGCGGCUCUCUGGACCAGCACUGACACUGAGGCACGAAAGCGUGGGGAGCAACCAGG